UUCAAUUUCGCUCUCUCAAAUCCAGAUCACACCAUAAAAAGUAAAUCUGCCAUUGAUAUACACACUUUGAGCUCAACUACUCAUCAUUUCUCGAUCGAUCAGUAAGUUUCCAAAUACAACUGUGUGUCAUGAACGAAUGGAUGAUAAGUAGAAAGAAACAAACAGGCAUACAGCAAGAGUGGUGGCAGUAGCUCCGAUUAGACCGAAAACGAGAAUCCCCCAAAUCCCUAUCUCAUGUUCUUCUUCCUUUUGGUAGUGUAUACAUAGUUCUUUUGAUACUUUCUCUCUCCCAAAUCCAAUGCAGACCUCUCUCCCAAAUCCAAUCCAGGCAGCAAUGGAAGAAGAAACCCUAACAAUGGACAAUACAACUUCUUCCGACUCUGACGGAGACGACGAUCAAACUGCUCUGGAAUUACAAACCCUAGCAAUCGAACUCUCCACCAAUCCAGCCAACUACGAUGCUCAUCUUCAAUAAACGAUGAAUCAUGCCAAUCGAAACAAAUUAGCUGGACUUUCUCUUGUCAUGAACAAGUUGAGAAAUUAAUAGUUUUGCACUUAAACAAGGGAUGCAGAGCAACAAUCAUGUUGGGUUAUAAUGCUAGAUCUCGAUUCUCUUGCAUAGAUUCAUAAUAUAAGCCGACCAAUCAUUCUUGAUUGACUGAUCUCACAGCAUGAAUGCAUAAUAGAGUGGAUGGGGCGUACUUUCCACCUUGAGGUCUGGGAACCUUUAUCAAAUCAGUAGAAGCAAGCAGCUUCAGUUGUUGAAGUUUUUAGGAUUGUAGAGGAGGUAGGAAGAAGGUUUGGACAAAGAGAAUGUGAAGAUCUCGAUCUUGUGAUAAGUGAAGUGUAGGAUGAAGGUAUUGAUGUGUAUAUGGUAGCAUAAAAAUCAGUAAAUAAAGUAGCGUUUCGUUUACUACUAUGAGAGUCUGAGUCUGCGAUUCGACAUGCCAAGUUUGGACAAAGAGAAUGUGAAGAUCUCCGUGGACCAGAACACGCUGAUCAUCAAAGUGGAGGAAGAGAAAGAAACAGAGAACGGCGUAGCACCAGUCCAGUGUUAAUAAAGCGUUGAGUUUGAUUCUACAAGAAGGUGCUUCAAAGUGUCAGGAUCUUCGAACUAUUGUUAGGUCGAAAGUGGAGCAAAUUAUGAGAGUGGAGGUGAAUUGGAGGUGAUUAUGUCGACUUUCAGUGCUCGAAAGAAGGAGCUGAAGAACAAGCAGAGGGUUCUUUCUUCGCCCUUCAAUUGACGAUGUUUUAAGUCUAUUGGACCAGAGAUUAUAUGGUUAAGCUCGAAAUCGCAACUGGGUAUCUCUCUAAUUCGGGUCUUUUUAUGUUUAAAACCAGAAAGAAGAGUUGUUUUUCUAUUAGUUUAGUUGAAUUUUCAAACGGUUUCGUUAAAACAGUGUUUUGUGGAGAAAACAGUUGGUUGAAACCAUUGUUGGGUAAAGAUUGUGGUUUGAAACCACUGUUCGGCUAAAACAGUGUUUUGUGGAG